rnacentral:ncRNA from 1 species
CGCCCUGGCCGGGCGUAAUCAAGGCCGACCGCAGCGGAGGCGACCCGCGUACCGAAAGCGUA